rnacentral:rRNA from 1 species
UACGUAGGUGGCGAGCGUUGUCCGGAUUUACUGGGCGUAAAGAGCGCGCAGGCGGUCGUGCCAGUCGCGUGUGAAAGCCCCCGGCUCAACUGGGGAGGGUCACGCGAUACUGCUCGACUCGAAGGCAGGAGAGGGAAGUGGAAUUCCCGGUGUAGUGGUGAAAUGCGUAGAUAUCGGGAGGAACACCAGUGGCGAAGGCGACUUCCUGGCCUGUUCUUGACGCUGAGGCGCGAAAGCGUGGGGAGCAAACAGG